GGGUUAUCCUAUAACCUUAUAGAGUUGAUCAAAUCAAAUUCAUAAUGAGUCAAAUUAAAUCCAAUCAAAUAGGACCCAAUGCAAGUCCCAUUGCUUAAUCAAAUUGAGCCAAUUAGCAAUCUUAUUACUAAUUAACCCUUCUACAACUCACUAACUCUUUAGUAAGUUACAUAAUACAACAUUUGCAUUAGAUCAAUUAUCAAUCAAAUUGAUAAUCAAAUCCUAUGACGAUUCAUAAUCGUAAUUCAACCAUC
rnacentral:lncRNA from 1 species